ensembl:lncRNA
CUAUAGCUGGCCCGCUCCAUAGCAAGCUGCACUACUGGUUGUCUAGGUUAAAACAACUAUAUCUGGCCCGCUCCAUAGCAAGCUGCACUAUCGGCUGUCUAGGUUAAAACAACUAUAUCUGGCCCGCUCCAUAGCAAGCUGCACUAUCGGCUGUCUAGGUUAAAACAACUAUAUCUGGCCCGCUCCAUAGCAAGCUGCACUACUGGUUGUCUAGGUUAAAAUAACUAUAGCUGGCCUGCUCCAUAGCAAGCUGCACUACUGGUUGUCUAGGUUAAAACAACUAUAGCUGGCCCGCUCCAUAGCAAGCUGCACUACUGGUUGUCUAGGUUAAAACAACUAUAGCUGGCCCGCUCCAUAGCAAGCUGCACUACUGGUUGUCUAUGUUAAAACAACUAUAGCUGGCCCGCUCCAUAGCAAGUUGCUCUGUCGGCUGUCUAGGUUAAAAUAACUAUAUCUGGCCCGCUCCAUAGCAAGCUGCACUACUGGUUGUCUAGGUUAAAACAACUAUAGCUGGCCCGCUCCAUAGCAAGCUGCACUACUGGUUGUCUAGGUUAAACAACUAUAUCUGGCCCGCUCCAUAGCAAGCUGCACUACUGGUUGUCUAUGUUAAACAACUAUAUCUGGCCCCCUCCAUAGCAAG